rnacentral:lncRNA from 10 species
CCAAAAAGGUGGAACACCUAAUGUACAGCCCCAAGGAAGGAGCAUACUUGGAGAAUUCAAGGAACAGAAAGAAAAACAGGAAGGCUGGAGUGAAACUGAUUAAAUAAAGCAUCGUAACAUUAGAGGUCCAUCAUAGAGGCCAAGCCAAAUACAACUAUGUUUUCAAGCAUAAGAUGGAUAGAUGUGGUAAACCACAAGAAGCAAACAGCCCUUUAGAGGUGUGGAUUGACCUUGCAGAGUUACAAGUGGAGCCAGGAGAAAUCAUGUUGAGUGGGACUUCUCAUCCUACCUAAGAGAGACUAACAGAUGGAAAGCUGGGUACAGAAGGGAGAGAAGGCAGUAACAGUCAGAUUUCAAUACGCUGAGACUGUGACGUGGGACUUUUGAGUGAGUAACAUCUGCUCCUAGAACUGAGUUGAGUGGGGAUCCUCCCACACCACCCAGGCAAGAGAACUAACAAUUGAUGACUGCUCCAAAUCAGUCGCCAGUCUACCUAAUACUUCUACCUGGUAGGUAGCCUGAUACCCACUAACAUCAGGUAGGUUCUAUAUGAUUAAUAGUUCAUAAGAUAAAUAUUAAUCAUUAGCAAUUUUCAAAGCUGAGGUACAGCUACUUCAAAAAUGAAGAAGGAAUGCAGAUGAAGAGUCUCCAGACUCUUCAAGAGACUCUCUGCAAGCAAAGUCUCCAGAGUUCUGAGGGAAAGAAGCAAACAAAGAAUCACAGCCAUUCUUUGAGGGAGCAACCUACUCAUUAAAGAAAUGCAAUCAUGAUUAUGCUGAUCAAAUGAAAAUCUCAAAAAUAGAGAGGCCAUGGGAAAAGGGCUAGUUAUGAGCACUGAAUUCAUUUACAUAUAAAACAAGGCAAAAUAAUUGUCAUAAUACUUUGUAAUGGUUAUAAACACCAAAUAAAUGUUAUAUAGAGGUGAAUCGCAUAAAAAUAGUAAUAUAGCAGUUUUCCCAGUUUUUCUUAAUAUUUAAUAAAUACUGCCUACACUUGGUGCAUGAAGUUAAAGAGUAUAAUGACACCAAUCUUUUAAUAUUCUUUUAUACCUUAUUUUUUAA